UAGUUGGCGGGGUAACGGCCCACCAAGGCAAAGAUCGGUAGCCGGCCUGAGAGGGCACACGGCCACACUGGCACUGAAACACGGGCCAGACUCCUACGGGAGGCAGCAGUGGGGAAUCUUGCACAAUGGGGGAAACCCUGAUGCAGCGACGCCGCGUGAGCGAUGAAGCCCUUCGGGGUGUAAAGCUCUUUCGGCAGGGAAGAAUCAUGACGGUACCUGCAGAAGCAGCUGCGGCUAACUACGUGCCAGCAGCCGCGGUAAUACGUAGGCAGCGAGCGUUGUUCGGAGUUACUGGGCGUAAAGGGUGUGUAGGCGGCCCUCUAAGUUUGGUGUGAAAUCUCCCGGCUCAACCGGGAGGGUGCGCCGAAAACUGGGGGGCUAGAGUGCGGGAUGGGAAAGUGGAAUUCCUGGUGUAGCGGUGAAAUGCGUAGAUAUCAGGAGGAACACCGGUGGUGUAGACGGCUUUCUGGACCGUAACUGACGCUGAGACACGAAAGCGUGGGUAGCAAACAGGAUUAGAUACCCUGGUAGUCCACGCCCUAAACGAUGCAUAUUUGGUGUAGGUCAUUCAGUUGAUCUGUGCCGGAGCUAACGCGUUAAAUAUGCCGCCUGGGGAGUACAGUCGCAAGGCUGAAACUCAAAGGAAUUGACG
rnacentral:rRNA from 1 species